rnacentral:rRNA from 1 species
ACAACAGUUGGAAACGACUGCUAAGCCCCGAUGAACCGAAAGGGAAAAUAUUUAUAGCCUGAAGAUGAGCUCGCGUCCGAUUAGCUAGUUGGUGAGGUAAUGGCUCACCAAGGCGACGAUCCGUAACUGGUCUGAGAGGAUGAUCAGUCACACUGGAACUGAGACACGGUCCAGACUCCUACGGGAGGCAGCAGUGGGGAAUAUUGGACAAUGGGCGAAAGCCUGAUCCAGCCAUGCCGCGUGUGUGAAGAAGGUCUUCGGAUUGUAAAGCACUUUAAGUUGGGAGGAAGGGCAGUAAGUUAAUACCUUGCUGUUUUGACGUUACCGACAGAAUAAGCACCGGCUAACUUCGUGCCAGCAGCCGCGGUAAUACGAAGGGUGCAAGCGUUAAUCGGAAUUACUGGGCGUAAAGCGCGCGUAGGUGGUUUG